UAGUCCACGCCGUAAACGAUGUCAACUAGCCGUUGGUGGGCUUGACCCAUUAGUGGCGCAGCUAACGCACUAAGUUGACCGCCUGGGGAGUACGGCCGCAAGGUUAAAACUCAAAUGAAUUGACGGGGGCCCGCACAAGCGGUGGAGCAUGUGGUUUAAUUCGAUGAUACGCGAGGAACCUUACCAGGGCUUAAAUGUAAGUUGCAUUAGUUAGAGAUAGCUAUUUCUUCGGACUACUUACAAGGUGCUGCAUGGUUGUCGUCAGCUCGUGCCGUGAGGUGUCAGGUUAAGUCCUAUAACGAGCGCAAUCCCUAUCGUUAGUUGCUAGCAGGUCAAGCUGAGGACUCUAACGAGACUGCCGGUGCAAACCGUGAGGAAGGUGGGGAUGACGUCAAAUCAUCACGGCCUUACGUCCUGGGGCUACACACGUGCUACAAUGGUAUAUACAGAGAGCAGCCACCUGGCGACAGGGAGCGAAUCUAUAAAGUAUAUCACAGUUC
rnacentral:rRNA from 1 species